UGGCCUGAAGUGCUGUAUGUGUCACACGCGCUACGGCAGUUGCACCGUUGAAAAGUAAAGUUUCUUAAAGUGUGGCCUCCAUCAAGACCUGCAGUAGUUUUAGUGUUACAGUGAAGUUAGACUUUUAAGGACAAGUUUGUGUGAACCAGAACAAUAAACUGAGCAAUAAAAGCAAUUGGUGGAGAUUGGUGUGUCAGUCUGGAGUUUAUAAGCAGACCUCAAAGAUUCUACUCAAUAAAAAAUAAUAACUGUA